AGAGUUUGAUCAUGGCUCAGAUUGAACGCUGGCGGCAUGCCUUACACAUGCAAGUCGAACGGUAACAGGUCUUUCGGGAUGCUGACGAGUGGCGAACGGGUGAGUAAUACAUCGGAACGUGCCCAGUAAUGGGGGAUAGCUCGGCGAAAGCCGGAUUAAUACCGCAUACGCCCUGAGGGGGAAAGUGGGGGACCGCAAGGCCUCACGUUAUUGGAGCGGCCGAUGGCUGAUUAGCUAGUUGGUAGGGUAAAGGCCUACCAAGGCGACGAUCAGUAGCUGGUCUGAGAGGACGAUCAGCCACACUGGGACUGAGACACGGCCCAGACUCCUACGGGAGGCAGCAGUGGGGAAUUUUGGACAAUGGGGGAAACCCUGAUCCAGCAAUGCCGCGUGUGCGAAGAAGGCCUUCGGGUUGUAAAGCACUUUUGUCAGGGAAGAAUCCUUUGGGCUAAUACCCUAGGGGGAUGACGGUACCUGAAGAAUAAGCACCGGCUAACUACGUGCCAGCAGCCGCGGUAUACGUAGGGUGCAGCGUUAAUCGGAAUUACUGGGCGUAAA
rnacentral:rRNA from 1 species